rnacentral:tRNA from 2 species
GGAUUUGUCGUGCUUGGCAACAGACUCAUAAUCUGGAGGUCCCUGGUUCAAGCCCAGGCUGGUCCACAA